rnacentral:rRNA from 1 species
AUUGAACGCUGGCGGCAGGCCUAACACAUGCAAGUCGAGCGGAGCGGCGGACGGGUGAGUAAUGCCUAGGAAUCUGCCUGGCAGUGGGGGAUAACGUCCGGAAACGGGCGGGAAUACCGCAUACUAUCAGAUGAGGCUAGGUGGGAGUGGCUAUUUGGUGGGGUAAAGGCCUACCAAGGCGACGAUCCGUAACUGGUCUGAGAGGAUGAUCAGUCACCCUGGAACUGAGACACGGUCCAGACUCCUACGGGAGGCAGCAGUGGGGAAUAUUGGACAAUGGGCGAAAGCCUGCUCCAGCCAUGCCGCGUGUGUGAAGAAGGUCUUCGGAUUGUAAAGCACUUUAAGUUGGGAGGCGUUCCCAACACCCUAAGCACCGGCUAACUUCGUGCCAGCAGCCGCGGUAAUUC